UAGGGUUCUUGGCUUGGCUAUGGUCGUGACCGGCGUGCGGGCGUGCGGAUUGUGCGUGCAUGCGUGCGCCAUGGCGAGGCAGCGCCAGCGCCAGCGCCAGGGCAGGGAUUUCCUCGGCGAAAGGGGAAAAUUCCCUCUUUCUCCUCUCUCUCUCUCUCUUUUCUCUCCUCUCUCUCUCUCUCUCCCUCUCUCUCUCUCUCUCCCCUUUCUCUCGCUGGCUGUGCUUGCUGCGGGGGACAGAUUUCCAGGGAGCGCAUUCAUUGAUUUCCAUGUCGUAGUAGUAUGCGCGUGUGUGUGCGUGCUGGGCAGGAGCUAAGAUGUAUAGGCGAGAGAGAGGGAGCUCCAGGCCUCCCAGGAGAGGCUACAACCGCUUUUUCUCCUUGAUCUCUGUGUGCUUGUCGCAAAUCCAUGGCCAGGGAGGAGGAAAUCCCAAAUUCACACCCAAUUCUUCUAAUCCCACAGCCGGUCCAGCCAGGGGCUGAUUCAAAUCCGCCUCUCUUUGAUUUUCUCUCCUUUUUUUUUUCUUCUCUCCUGUGGACUGCCAAGGAAGAGCUAGCCCUGUCUCUAGCAAAGCUGCAGUGGUGUGAGUCGCAGCAGCUAUUUAAACGUGCGCUGCUCGUUCUCGUUUCUUUGACGAUUGUCACUUCCGUUUCAUUCCUCUUGCGUGGUUCUCGUCCGUUCUCGUGCUUGCGAUUUUGGUGUGAGCUUGCAUUGCAUCAUCCUCUUCGUUCGUCCUAGUGAUUCGAGUUUCCUACACGCUCUCUCUUUUCGUCAGGAAGGAGUGUGUGAGACCCAAGAGCUCGCAGCUCGUGAUCUUCGCUUUGUCGCGAACAAUUUAAAGUUUGUGGGAUGUCACGGCUCUCGAGCAAGUACUCUAGAUAUCUAGGAGAGAACCGAAGAAUCACUGCCAAGUUUACUCAUUUCAAAGAAUCCUCUCAUGCUUUUCCACGGCUUUCUUGAACCUGGUGCUCUUCCAAGGCAGGAGGAUCAGAAAACGUUGUGGUCUUUCUCGUCUCCUCGUCUCGUCCUUGGUCUCCCCUUGAAAGAAACUCACCAGUAAGAGUACGAAGUUCAAGAAAGCUGUGGGAAACAAUGGCCGGAUUCAGAAGCUUGUGAAUCAUUUCGACGCUAUAGCCGUGAUCUCUACUCCAUUUUUUUGUGUGCAUCUUUAGCUCGUGAUCAUUGAAUCGUCAUACUAAUCCCACUUGUGGUCUUGCUGUGAUUGCAGCCAGCGAGAGCAAGGCUUCCAAGUCCCGCGAUUCAACUUGGAGGAAGAGAGGAACUCGCAAAAUCUCUCGAGAUCUUCUGACGAUCAUCGGCGAGAGAGAAGUUUGGUUUUGUCGUUCUUUGCUCUUGGUUUUCGGUUCCCUCACUUUGUUUUUGGCAAUUCCUCGUCGUCGUAGGUGUCACCUUGGCCAGGUAGAAUUCGACAUCGCCACUACAACCAUACGUGUACUUGUAGGUAUUUUCUCGCUUGCACUAGUUACUAGACUAACAAAAGCUGCUCGCUCGAUUCGUAUGUCGUUUUCACGCUUGGAGUGGGCUGCGCGAUGGUUAACUUGUGUAGACUGAUAGAUAUAUGGCUUUGCUUUCCUUUCCCGUGCUCGCUCCGCCAAAAGGAUGGAUUUUCGCAGGCACCGUCUGCCGGAACAAAGACUGGAGCCCGGUCUGAGCGAUGGAGCGUACAGUAAUCAGUGCUCGCGUCUCCAAAUCAUCAGGCCAGACGUUCUUAAGUUGGGAUCCAGGACACUUGCUGGUGGCACUGAUGCUUUUAGUGAGCACCGUUUUGGAAGAGAAAGGAGAGAUCCCUCUGCGAAGCGCUAGUACCGCGUACAGUGAGGUUUGUGGAGACUUCUUUUCUUUUCUAGAGGGCGAGAGACUCGGAGAGAAAUCAUGAAGCAUGACGCUGGCUACGAAUGAUGACGACGCUGCUGGUAUUAGUUCUCUUUUUUUUUUCUACUGAGCUCGCAGUGGCACAGUUUGAUCGAUCAAAAAGCAGGCUUUUGUGAAGUUUUCGUGAGUAGAGCUCACGCAAAUCUGUGAAACUUUGUAACAUGGAGAGCUUUCGUGAAGUAGAGCUCACGCAAAUCUACGUUCUGGGCUGAAAAAACUCAAGAACUUCGUAGAUCAUCAUGUUAAACAGAGAUAAAUCGAAAGUUCUCUUUGAUUCAAUCGAAAAAAAUCGAGUUUUUGGCUC